rnacentral:rRNA from 1 species
UAGUGGCGGACGGGUGAGUAACGUGUGGAUAACCUGGUCCAUCCAGGGGGAUAGCAGCUGGAAACGGCUGGUAAUACCGCAUAAGCGCACAGAGAGGCAUCUCUCGGUGUGAAAAGAUUUAUCGGGAUGGAAUGGAUCCGCAUCUGAUUAGCCAGUUGGCGGGGUAACGGCCCACCAAAGCGACGAUCAGUAGCCGGCCUGAGAGGGCGGACGGCCACAUUGGGACUGAGACACGGCCCAGACUCCUACGGGAGGCAGCAGUGGGGGAUAUUGCACAAUGGAGGGAACUCUGAUGCAGCGACGCCGCGUGGGUGAAGAAGUAUUUCGGUAUGUAAAGCCCUAUCAGCAGGGAAGAUAAUGACGGUACCUGAGUAAGAAGCCCCGGCUAACUACGUGCCAGCAGCCGCGGUAAUACGUAGGGGGCGAGCGUUAUCCGGAUUUACUGGGUGUAAAGGGAGCGCAGACGGCUGUGGAAGUCAGAUGUGGAAGCCCCGGGCAUAACCCGGGGAGUGCAUUUGAAACUCUAUAGCUAGAGUACUGGAGGGGUGAGCGGAAUUCCUNGUGUAGCGGUGNAAUGNGUAGAUAUCANGAAGAACACCGGUGGCGAAGGNGGCUCACUNGACAGAGACUGNCGNUGAGGCUCGAAAGCGUGGNGAGCAAACAGGNNUUUAGAUACCCUGGUAGUCCUACGCCGUAAACGAUGAACACUAGGUGUGGGGAAGCGAAGCGCCUCCCGGUGCCGCAGCAAACGCAAUAAGUGUUCCACCUGGGGAGUACGUCCGCAAGGAUGAAACUCAACGGAAUUGACGGGGACCCGCACAAGCGGUGGAGCAUGUGGUUUAAUUCGAAGCAACGCGAAGAACCUUACCAGGCCUUGAGAUCCGGAUGAAUAGCAGGUAAUGCUGCUAGCUCUUCGGAGCAUCCGAGACAGGUGGUGCAUGGUUGUCGUCAGCUCGUGUCGUGAGAUGUUGGGUCAAGUCCCGCAACGAGCGCAACCCUUGCCAUCAGUAGCCAGCAUGUAGAGGUGGGCACUAUGAUGGGACUGCCGGGGACAACCCGGAGGAAGGUGGGGAUGACGUCAAAUCAUCAUGCCCCUUAUGGCCUGGGUUACACACGUGUUACAAUGGCGCACACAAAGGGAAGCGAAGGCGUGAGCCGGAGCGAAUCCCAAAAAAGGCGCCUCAGUUCGGACUGUAGUCUGCAACCCGACUUCACGAAGCUGGAAUCGUUAGUAAUCGCAGAUCAGAAUGUUGCGGUGAAUACGUUCCCGGGUCUUGUACACACCGCCCGUCACACCAUGGGGGUCAGAAAUGCCCGAAGCUCGUGGCUUAACCGUAAGGAGAGAGCGAUCGAAGGCAGGUCCGGUGACUGGGGCGUCGUAAUAACAAGGUAACC